UACGUAGGGGGCAAGCGUUAUCCGGAUUUACUGGGUGUAAAGGGAGCGUAGACGGCAUGGCAAGCCAGAUGUGAAAGCCCGGGGCCCAACCCCGGGACUGCUUUGGAAACUGCCAUGCUGGAGUGCUGGAGAGGUAAGCGGAAUUCCUAGUGUAGCGGUGAAAUGCGUAGAUAUUCGGAGGAACACCGGUGGCGAAGGCGGCCAACUGGGCUUUAACUGACGCUGAGGCUCGAAAGUGUGGGGAGCAAACAGG
rnacentral:rRNA from 1 species